UAAUCAAGUGUUUUUAUGGCACUUUAAAAAAUCCAUAUCCACCUUGUGUGCAAUGUCAUCUCACUGGAGGUCGCGGCUGUAAAAAUCCGUUGGCCACCUUUGGGAUUUAUAUCUACUCAGAACUUUAGUGAUUUUGUCUGAACCAUAUUAUGAAUAACUUAAUUCAAAAUA
rnacentral:misc_RNA from 1 species